rnacentral:rRNA from 1 species
UACCAGCACCCCGAGUGGUCGGGACGAUUAUUGGGCCUAAAGCAUCCGUAGCCGGUCCUGCAAGUCUUCCGUUAAAUCCAGCUGCUCAACAGAUGGGCUGCGGGAGAUACUACAGGGCUAGGAGGCGGGAGAGGCAAGCGGUACUUUAUGGGUAGGGGUAAAAUCCGCUGAUCCAUAGAAGACCACCAGUGGCGAAGGCGGCUUGCCAGAACGCGCUCGACGGUGAGGGAUGAAGCUGGGGGAGCAAACCGG